GAUGAACGCUGGCGGCGUGCCUAAUACAUGCAAGUCGAGCGAACGGACGAGAAGCUUGCUUCUCUGAUGUUAGCGGCGGACGGGUGAGUAACACGUGGAGAACCUACCUAUAAGACUGGGCUAACUUCGUGAAACCGGAGCUAAUACCGGGUAAUAUUUUGAACCGCAUGGUUCAAAAGUGAAUGACGUACUUGCCGACACUUAUAGAUGCAUCCGCGCUGCCUUAGCUAGUUGGGAAGUUAACGGCUUACAAAGGUACCGAGGCAUAGCCGACCUGAGAGGGUGGUAGGGUACACUGGAACUGAGACACGGUCCCGACUCCUGAGGGAGGCAGCAGUAGGGAAUCUUACGCGAGGGGCGAAAGCCUGACGGAGCAACGCCGCGUGAGUGAUGAAGGUCUUCGGAUCGUAAAACUCUGUUAUUAGGGAAGAACAUAUGUGUAAGUAACUGUGCAGAUAUUGACGGUACCUAAUCAGAAAGCCCCGGCUAACUACGUG
rnacentral:rRNA from 1 species